rnacentral:tRNA from 1 species
GCCUCUCAAGCUAAUCAGGUGAAAGCGCUUGCUUGAAAAGCAAGAGAGUCUGGUUCGAUACCAGAGGGAGGCACCA